GCUAUGGGGCUGGGCAGGGGGCAAUGGGGAAUCACAUGAGGUGUCCCUGGGGUGCCCCUCCAGGCAGUGGGGCCCCCAGACAACUGUCUCCCCUUGCCCUAUCAUUGUUACGCGCCUGAGCCAGAAAUUGGCCCAAGCUUGGAUGGGUUCAGCAAAUGUAUUUGAAAUCUGAGGGAAUUCUGUUAUAAAAUGAAACUGACAUCUGUUGUUCUACUUAAGGGCAUUAAGUAAGAGUGUGUUAUUAUCAUCAGGAAAAGAGUCAUCCGUCAGAGCUAAGGACCAGGAAUUUUCAGAGAGAAUAUCUGACGUCAGAGACAGAGCCUCCAUCUCAGCUAGAGGGAUCUAAACAAGGGAGAGAUGAUCAAACAUAAGAAACCAGGACACAUGUCUUUGAGAAAAAAGAAAGCUAUUAUCAUUAUCAUUAUUAUCUAAAUACUAAGGUAUUUCCCCUUAUAAUAAGUGCAUUUGUGUCAUGCACAUUAUUAUGUGGAUAAAGCCAUAAGGAAAUUGAGCUAAAACUUUUUUCACUUAUUCUAAAAAGGCUUACAAAUAAUGCAAGAUGGAAAUCACUAACCAUACAUUAAAGAUGCAUUGAUUAAUAUAAUCUUUUGAGGGACCAACCGAGGGACUUAAAGCAUCAACGGCUCCAAAAUUAAUUUUUAAAACCUAGCCUAAUUACAUUUGAAUGGUACAUGCUUUCAGAAAUCCCCACUUCCAAAUGUUGGGCAAUAUUCUGCUUGUCUUUUGCCAGUGACACAGAAGCCUUAAAAAAAAAAGGUACUUUUUUGAAAGCUGGGGUUCCAGAAGCUACUUUAGUUGUGGUCAUGGUAAUGACCUUUUGUCCUGGAGCAGCAGACCCCCAUAAUCUGUUUCUAACAGAGUCUCCUCAGUUUCAAAACAGGUUAUGCCAUGUGGAGGGAGCUGCACUUCAGAAUGCUUAAGCCCACAUGCCCACUGAGAGUGUGGAAUGAGUUGCCCACCUCUUUGUAUUCUGACCUUCAUAUUUAAAUGACUGGUGUUCGGGGUACUCUGUCCUCCUCAGUUCUGAAUGGUAUAGUGACAUUGUGGGAUCUACUUUGCUCACCAUCCCAAGUGCAGUUCUAUACUCAAUUAGCUUAGAAAUCUGAUGGAAUAGCUAGAAUGGGUUAGGAAUCAUUAAGUAUGUGGCUUCUUUAGUUUGCUUCAUAACUGCUAUGCAAAAUACUAAAUAACCGUGAUCACCAUGCACUGAGCAUUUUAUUUCUAUUUAUUUUUCUAUUUAUUUGUUUGUUUUAUUUCUAAAGAAGCAUUCAAGAGCAUAAUAAUACUUUGCCAGUCCCCUUUUAACUGAGAAUCAAUGAUAACAUUCCCAGGGCUGACUCACCCAAUGAAAAAGAAAGUGUUAAAUUCCCAAGGCAUGCACAUUCCCAAUUUCUGGUUGUGCAAACCUGGAAAAAAUUGAUGAUGUUGGGUUGACACUGCACCAACCCAACCCCUACUUGGGAUUGUGAGAUAUUAAUUCUGGCUGUCGAUUCUGUGUAGAUGUUGGGUUGGCAUGGUUCUAACCUGACAACUGAUUUUUGCCAAGUUUACACAAAUGGAAAUUGGAAGCGCUCGUGCCAUGGGAAUGUAGGAUUUAUCACUUACAAGAAGUUCUUUUCAUCAUGUGAACUGGCCCUAAGUGAAGAACUAGUAUAACCUAUUACAGAGAGCAAGAUCCAGAGUACCGCCACAAAGUCUCUUAAUACAGAGUACAAUAGUUACUCUUUCAAUUACCCAGUCAGGGUGUUUAUAGAGUAGGGAAUAGCUUCCAGCGACCCUGUGCAUGUCUCCAAGUGGGGAUUCUAAUCUGUGCUAAAGAUAAAGUGGAGGUAGUUUAAGACAGAUGAAGCCAAAGUAAAUUGGAGCAACCUUCCCUUCUAUGUGGCAUCGAACGUGUUGAGGUCUUGAUCCAAACAUUAGAGAUGUGUGUGGCUCUUUCCGCUACCCUUUAAUGGGUUUAUAGUGGGUAUGUUCUAACACUGUCAAUGCUAUUUAAAAAAUGAAAUUUAUAAUGAACUAUCUAACCCUUUAUUGCAACAUGCUCCCUAAAUAUAUCUCCUUUAAAGACUUCAAGGGCCCUGUGUCAGAUUAAUUACAAAUGUAUUGCUUUGUAUAUCAUAGGCCAUCAUAUACUUUAUUGCAAAGACCAUGCCAAGGUGUUCCCAUUAAUAAAGCAGGGCCAUCUCUGCUCUCAUCCCAAAGCAAUAUUUUUAUUGGCCUUUAUGGGGAAUGUUAAAUUUCCAAGCAAUCAGAGCUUGACAUCUUAUUUAUGGAUUUUAAUGUUUAUCUCUACAGGAGCAUCAAGGUUUUCUUUUCUUAUUUGCAGGAAAUAUCUAUACAGCUAUAAAACUGACUCAUAUGAGUAGCCACUGUUAUAUCAAAACAUACAUCUAUGCCAUGUCCUCCAAUGCCUCCUUUAUCUUAGCAGUUUAUUUUUUUUAUGCCAAAGAAUUAGCGCUUUUACUUUAAGUGCUCAAGCAAUAUGUGUCCAAAGGUAAUAAUGAAUCAUUUAUGAUAUAGUGUGGAGACCAGAGCUGCUUAUAUCUAACCUAGAGAUGUUGGUUUUGUAGAUUUCAGUUUAAAAAAACUCAGUUUAAAACAACCUCCUUUGGGUUAGAGAACGGAAUAUUCUGAUAAGCAUCCAUGAACCUAGUUGUUUUCUGAACUUAAGCUGUACUAACAAAUUUGACCUGGAGCAUGUACUUAAGAAUUCUAAUAUAAUUUUCUAUAAAA